rnacentral:tRNA from 1 species
GCCUGGCUGGCUCUGUCGGUAGAGCACGUGACUCUUGAUCUCAGUGUUGUGAGUUCGAGCCCCACACUGGGUG